rnacentral:rRNA from 1 species
CCUAUUUAUGGUAUUAUCUUUUCAAGGCCUGAUCUCGUCUGAUCUGAGAAGCUAAGCAGGGUUGAUCGUGGUCACUAUCUGAAUGGGAAAUAGGA